AUAAGAUUUCCCUAGGACUUUAUGUCCUCUAAAGAGCCGUUCGAGACUAGGACGUUGAUAGGUUGGAUGUGGAAGCAUAGUGAUAUGUGAAGCUGACCAAUACUAAUUGCUCGUGAGGCUUGACUAU
rnacentral:rRNA from 1 species